UGAACUAAUCCUUCCACCUUCCCUGCCAAG
rnacentral:piRNA from 1 species